rnacentral:rRNA from 1 species
CGAACGCUGGCGGCAGGCCUAAUACAUGCAAGUCGAACGGCUCUUCGGAGCAGUGGCGGACGGGUGAGUAACGCGUGGGAAUGUGCCCUUAGGUACGGAACAACACAGGGAAACUUGUGCUAAUACCGUAUGUGCCCUUCGGGGGAAAGAUUUAUCGCCUUUGGAGCAGCCCGCGUUGGAUUAGGUAGUUGGUGAGGUAAAGGCUCACCAAGCCGACGAUCCAUAGCUGGUCUGAGAGGAUGACCAGCCACACUGGGACUGAGACACGGCCCAGACUCCUAUGGGAGGCAGCAGUAGGGAAUCUUGCGCAAUGGGCGAAAGCCUGACGCAGCCAUGCCGCGUGUAUGAUGAAGGUCUUAGGAUUGUAAAAUACUUUCACCGGGGAAGAUAAUGACGGUACCCGGAGAAGAAGCCCCGGCUAACUUCGUGCCAGCAGCCGCCGCGGUAA